rnacentral:rRNA from 1 species
GAUAAACGCUGGCGGCGUGCCUAACACAUGCAAGUCGAACGCCCUUUUGCGCAAGUGAGAGGGAGUGGCGGACGGGUGAGUACCACGUGGGUACCUACCUUGAGGUGAGGAAUACCACCGAGAAAUCGGUGACAAGACCGCAUACGCUUGGCAACAAGCAAAGUCUCGCAAGAGACGCCACAAGAUGGGCCUGCGCCUGAUUAGCUAGUUGGUGAGGUAAUGGCCACCAAGGCGACGAUCAGUAGCUGGUCUGAGAGGAUGAUCAGCCACACUGGGAUUGAGAACGGCCCAG